AGAGUUUGAUCAUGGCUCAGAGUGAACGCUGGCGGCGUGCCUAACACAUGCAAGUCGAACGAGAACGGGUAUUAGUUUACUAAUACUGUCAGCUAAGUGGCGCACGGGUGAGUAAUAUAUAGUUAACCUGCCCCAAAGAAGAGAAUAAUUGUUGGAAACGACUUGUAAUGCUCUAUAUGCCUUUAAGACAUAAGUCUGCAAGGGAAAUAUUUAUAGCUUUGGGAUGGGACUGUACGGUAUCAGAUAGUUGGUGAGGUAAUGGCUCACCAAGUCAAUGACGCCUAACUGGUUUGAGAGGAUGAUCAGUCACACUGGAACUGAGACACGGUCCAGACUCCUACGGGAGGCAGCAGUGGGGAAUAUUGCACAAUGGAGGAAACUCUGAUGCAGCAACGCCGCGUGGAGGAUGACACAUUUCGGUGCGUAAACUCCUUUUAUAUGAGAAGAUAAUGACGGUAUCAUAUGAAUAAGCACCGGCUAACUCCGUGCCAGCAGCCGCGGUAAUACGGGGGGUGCAAGCGUUACUCGGAAUCACUGGGCGUAAAGAGCAUGUAGGCUGGUUUGUAAGUUGGAAGUGAAAUCCUAUCGCUUAACGAUAGAACUGCUUCCAAAACUGCAGACCUAGAAUGUGGGAGAGGUAGAUGGAAUUUCUGGUGUAGGGGUAAAAUCCGUAGAGAUCAGAAGGAAUACCGAUUGCGAAGGCGAUCUACUGG
rnacentral:rRNA from 1 species